AGAAAAUGCUAAUGCUGGAUAUUGAGUGAAAAGCUGAGAAGCCUGGACUGAAGGGUGUGCUCAUGCCUCACUCCCCUGCAUAAAUGGGGUUUUGUCCUGAGUUCAGAGGAGUUCUGGACAGCAGUCUGGUGCCAGGGGGCUGUGGUCUGGCUGCCAUGAGCCUAACGCUGCCUGGUGGCUUGGCGAGCUGGAAGAUGAAGAUGCAUUUGACCACAGACAAAAUGGACAAGUAGAGCAGGCUUUAUGCAAGCCCCUGUAAGGGGGUGCAAAGUGCAGCUCCUCUGGGGCUGGAGGAAGCACCUCCCCGUGCAGCCGGGGUUGGGAUGCUCACAGGUCCAGCCUGACGCCAGGAGCACAGCGUGCCCUGGGCAGGGCUCUACCCUGCCUGCCAUGGCCAGGGCCUUGGGUAGGAAGGAGAGUGUGUGGGUGUGCGAGUGCGUGUGUGCAUGAGCCUUGCGAGCUGCAUGAGGUCAGGAGCCGAGAGGCUUCCUGUUUCCUUUUUAAGGUUUAACAGAAUUUGAAAGCAGCCGCCGCCACGACCUGGACCAAUGAUCUGGGCAGAGCAGCGGGGGAGUUUCACCUCGGGGUGCCUGGCGCCCGUUACAAAUGCCAGCUCCGCUCUCCCAGCCCCACGUGGAGCCCCCAGCUCCCUCCAGCCCUGGGGGGCCGCCUCAGCCCCGGGCUCCCCCGGCCUGCCAGGGCGAUGCCCUGGCCCUCCGCUGAACGGCAAGAAGAGGUUUUUCAAGCACAAAUGAAGAAAAGCCCGUUUCUGCCGCGGGGAGCGACCCUGCCAAGCUGGCUGGUGGCACCGGCGGAGGCAGCACGGGCGCUGGCUCUGGAGGCUGUGGGGAAGGAGCUGCGGCUGGGAUCUGAAGUGCCCAACAAGAAAAGGAAAAUGAUUGGUUUUGUCGUACUGAGAAGAAAGCCACAACUGGAUUUGUAUGCCGAGAAACCACGCUUCCAGCAAACCAAAGGACUUUCCAUCCGCAGGAGGGAACCGAGACGCUCG